AGCAGCAUACAAGCCGGAGAGCCUACUGGAAGCAAGAGGGGAAAAUCCAGUCAGGUAUGGGGACUGCAGGGAGGAUGCCCGGCGGCGGAGACUGGAUUCAGGAUUUGAUGCCUGAACUGAACCUUCUGUUAAGAGGCAGCAUCCUCAAGUAGUGUCUUUGUGUCUGGAUGACACCAGUCAGCCUCUGAUUCUGCGUGCUGGUCUUCCCCGUAAUGAAGCUGGAAGAGAUGCCUUCCCUCCAUCAU
rnacentral:lncRNA from 1 species